rnacentral:rRNA from 1 species
CGUGCGUAGGUGGCCAAUUAAGUCAAAUGUGAAAUCCCCGAGCUUAACUUGGGAAUUGCAUUCGAUACUGGUUGGCUAGAGUAUGGGAGAGGAUGGUAGAAUUCCAGGUGUAGCGGUGAAAUGCGUAGAGAUCUGGAGGAAUACCGAUGGCGAAGGCAGCCAUCUGGCCUAAUACUGACACUGAGGUACGAAAGCAUGGGGAGCAAACAGGAUUAGAUACCCUGGUAGUCCAUGCCGUAAACGAUGUCUACUAGCCGUUGGGGUCUUUGAGACUUUAGUGGCGCAGCUAACGCGAUAAGUAGACCGCCUGGGGAGUACGGCCGCAAGACUAAAACUCAAAUGAAUUGACG